GACAGAGGAGGCAAGGGUUAUCCGGAAUUAUUUGGCGUAAAGCGUUCGUAGGUGGUUUGACAAGUCUGGGGUUAAAGCCCGGAGCCCAACUCCGGAUCGGCCCUGGAAACUGUCAGACUUGAGUAAGGUAGGGGAUGCGGGAAUUCCCGGUGUAGCGGUGAAAUGCGUAGAUAUCGGGAAGAACACCAGCGGCGAAAGCGCGCAACUGGGCCAUUACUGACACUGAGGGACGAAAUCUAGGGGAGCGAAUGGG
rnacentral:rRNA from 1 species